CACCAGCUUAGCUUUAUCGUCGACAAGCAGCGCAGAAGCUCGCUCGCUCGCGUUGCUCUCUCUCACAAACUCUUUCAGAGCAAACAAAUCCUCUCGCUCCUUCUCAAACGGCUCUAGGUUUUCCUUUCUCUCAAUCUUCCUUCACCGCAUGAAACCCUAAGGACUGGGCUUUUCUUCCAGACAAAGAUGGCUGUUCGAGCCGUUAACAGCUGCGCUAUCUUUCGCUCCGCUUCGUCUCCUCCUCUCUCCGCGGUCCGGUGCCGAUUGUACAGUUUCAGCACCUUUCCGCUUCGCCGCUACUGCAAAUUGGGAUUCCGGUUCUCGAUAUUGCGGCCCGAGCGGAAGUUUUUCGGCCAUGCCGGUGUUCGGAGCUGUUCGGUUCACAGUCUCGUCGAGAGCGUCAUGGAAGAGCUCGAAUUCAUUCGCAAGAGGAAGAGAGUUUGCGCUGCCUCCAAAAUUGGAUUAACGAGCAGCGGAGAGCUUCUUGAAGAUAAGCUAUCAAACCGAGCACUAGAGAAAGGGUUGCUGCUGGAGUUCAAGAAGGAUUCUGAUAGGGUCUUGCUGGCAGUUGCUCAGAGACCUGACGGGAAGAAGAACUGGAUGGUGUAUGAUCAGAAUGGUGUCACAUCCUCCAUCAAACCUCAACAAAUUACAUACAUUGUUCCAGGCAUUGAGAAUUUCGAUCACAUGGAGAUUUUGGAUUUUGUUCAGAGAGCACAGGAUAACUUGGAUCCAGCACUGCUUGAGUUUGCUUGGGUUGAGCUUCUAGAAAAAAAUAAGUCGGUGACAACCGAAGAAUUAGCAGAGAUGAUUUUUGGUUGUGCGGAGCCUCUUGAGAGCUAUUGUACCCAUCUUUUGUUAUCAAAAGAUGAAAUAUACUUUAGUGUGCUGGAGACAAAAGGUUCACGUUCUUUAUAUGGGCCUCGACCUACUGUGCAGGUAGAAGAACUUUCACGUAGGAAGCUUGCUAAGGAGGCUGCUGAGAAAGAACUGCAGGAGUUUGUACAAUUAUUGAAAUCUGCUAAGGCAAUGCCUUCUGAAGCUAAACUUCCCAAAUCUUCUUGGAUGGUUGAAGAGAAAAUUAGACACAAAAUUGAAUCUCUAGAAUCUUAUGCCAUUGAUGCCUGCAAAGACGACGACCAAAAGAAAACAGCUGGGAUGAUCCUCAAGGCAAUGGGACUUGUGAGAACAGCAUCAACAGCUGUAAAUCUCCUUAUAGAUAUUGGUUAUUUUUCUGUACAUGUCAAUCUUGAUCUCUUAAAGUUCAAUAUUUCUACUGAUCAUUCGGACGAGAUAAUAUCAGCUGCUGAAAGUCUUUUGUUGGAGUCAUCUGAUCCAGAUGAGAAUGAUAGAAAAGAUCUCACUCACUUAAAGGUUUACGCCAUUGAUGUUGAUGAGGCUGACGAGCUUGAUGAUGCCCUGAGUGCAACAAGGUUGCAAGAUGGCCGGAUUAAGAUCUGGAUACAUGUUGCAGAUGCAACAAGAUUUGUGCAACCUGGGAGCAAAGUAGACAGGGAGGCAAUGAGAAGAGGAACUUCUAUAUUCUUGCCAACUGCCACUUAUCCAAUGUUUCCAGAGAAACUUGCCAUGGAGGGAAUGAGUUUGAAACAAGGAGAGAUCUGCAAUGCUGUUACAGUAUCCGUUGUGCUGCGUUCUGAUGGCAGCAUUGCGGAGUACUCAGUGGACAACUCAAUCAUCAAACCCACUUAUAUGCUGACAUACGAGAGUGCAUCUGAGCUGCUUCAUUUGAACCUGGAAGAGGAGGUUGAACUGAAAAUUCUAUCCGAGGCAGCAACUUUACGGUCUCAGUGGCGACAACAACAGGGUGGAGUUGACACAGCCACAUUAGACACACGCAUCAAGGUGGCUAACCCAGAUGAUCCAGAGCCUAUUAUCAAUCUUUACGUCGAAAACCAAGCAGACCCUGCAAUGCGACUGGUCUCUGAGAUGAUGAUACUCUGUGGGGAAGUUAUAGCCACAUUUGGUUGUUGCAAUAACAUUCCCUUACCCUACAGAGGACAGCCCCAGUCAAAUAUUGAUCUAUCUGCAUUUGCACAUCUUCCAGAGGGACCCGUUAGGAGCUUUGCCAUUGUUAAAGUAAUGCGUGCUGCUGAAAUUGAUUUCAGGAAGCCUAUACGCCAUGGGAUUAUGGGACUUCCUGGUUAUGUUCAGUUUACAUCUCCUAUUCGUAGAUAUAUGGAUCUUCUUGCACAUUAUCAGGUCAAAGCAUAUCUUAGGGGUGAAUCUCUUCCUUUCUCAGCCGGUCAGCUAGAAGGGAUUGCAUCAAGUGUAAACAUGCACUCUAGAGUAGCAAAGAGGCUAUUUGGCAGUAGUCUCCGGUAUUGGAUAUUAGAAUACUUUAGAAGGCAACCAAAAGGAAGAAGAUAUCGUGCAUUGAUCCUGAGAUUCAUUAAAGAUCGGGUUGCAGCCUUAUUGUUAGUUGAGGUGGGAUUUCAAGCUUCUUUAUCGGUCUCUGUGGGAUCACAGAUUGGAGAUGAAGUAGUAGUUCGAGUCGAAGAAGCUCAUCCACGUGACGACUUUCUUGAGCUUAAGGAGGUUAUUUGAGGGAUACAAAGAGAUUCUUUUGGCUGGAACUUAUCAUCAAAGAAGCGUUUUUUCCCAUAUACCGGGUUUGUAUUACUUGCACCAACACCAAAGUUGGUCUUUGCUGAUAUUUUGGGAGAAUGAGAAUUUACUUGCCGUAGCUUCAUUGUUUUGUUACAGAAUGAUUAUAACCUCUGCAACCUUUUGAAGUGCUGAGACAUACUGUCAAACAGCCAAAACAUCACUUUUCAAGAAGAAUGUUCAUAAACAUCGCCAUCUGCAGAAGCGACUGCCCGUGUUGUGUUCCAUGACAAGCAUACAUUGAUUCAAAUUCCAUCUCUAUGUCGAACCAUGUCCCAGAAACCACAAAUCUGAUGGAUCAAGAAUAGCUUCAAGGCAUUUCUCGUUCUGUAGAUUUUGAUUGAUACAUGGCUAAGGAGGUUGCUGGAAGUUUCUAACUGAUUUUUGUAGUCCCUCAUUUUUCAUACGUGGAAAAAUUAAAAAAAUAUUUUCUGAAAAAGAACAUUUUACGGAUCCGAUAAUCUAACAAGAGAGGAACCAAUAGCUUCCAAGAUCCCUGGUGUAGGUGUCAGUAUCGAUAACACUUUAGCUUGCUUUGGAACUGGGAAUUACUCAUGGAAGUUAAAAAGGUUGCCAACUGGAUAGACUUGGGGCACUCGCUCUGGUGCAUCUCCUGUUGGAACUACAAGACGAGAUUUAUAAUUUUGAUGUGUGAAAAUAUUAUUUGUGUAGAAAACGUUAUCUUGCAGAUAUACUGACCUCCGAAAUUUUUGAAAAUAGGGUAGACAAUAGAUUUUAUGCCAUAGACAAAACAACAUGAUUCGUCAUCAUAAUGCCUAAACUGGUAGUACUGGCAUAUUCCUUAGCUUCAUUUCCAUUGAAACAGACAAAGGUAGUGAUACAGGCAUGAAAGAGAUAGGGAGCUGGGGGGAUUAAUUCUGUCUAUCAACGAAGGAAUGAUUAAAAGUCCUCACAGGCUCUGGGAAAUCGAUAGUAUAUUGGGAAAUGGCAGUGGCAGGGGCACAUUGAACAAUCGCCAGAAUAUCACGAGAUUCACUCC